AUGAACGCUGGCGGCGUGCCUAAUACCUGCAAGUCGAGCGCACAGAUGAGGAGCUUGCUCCUCUGACGUUAGCGGCGGACGGGUGAGUAACACGUGGAUAACCUACCUAUAAGACUGGGAUAACUUCGGGAAACCGGAGCUAAUACCGGAUAAUAUAUUGAACCGCAUGGUUCAAUAGUGAAAGACGGUUUUGCUGUCACUUAUAGAUGGAUCCGCGCCGCAUUAGCUAGUUGGUAAGGUAACGGCUUACCAAGGCAACGAUGCGUAGCCGACCUGAGAGGGUGAUCGGCCACACUGGAACUGAGACACGGUCCAGACUCCUACGGGAGGCAGCAGUAGGGAAUCUUCCGCAAUAGGCGAAAGCCUGACGGAGCAACGCCGCGUGAGUGAUGAAGGUCUUCGGAUCGUAAAACUCUGUUAUUAGGGAAGAACAAAUGUGUAAGUAACUAUGCACGUCUUGACGGUACCUAAUCAGAAAGCCACGGCUAACUACGUG
rnacentral:rRNA from 1 species